GACGAACGCUGGCGGCGUGCUUAACACAUGCAAGUCGAACGGUAAGGCCCCAGCUUGCUGGGGUACACGAGUGGCGAACGGGUGAGUAACACGUGGGUGACCUGCCCUGCACUUCGGGAUAACCCUGGGAAACUGGGGCUAAUACCGGAUAGGACCGCACCGUGCAUGGGUGGUGGAAAGUUUUUCGGUGGGGUAUGGGCCCGCGGCCUAUCAGCUUGUUGGUGGGGUAGUGGCCUACCAAGGCGGCGACGGGUAGCCGGCCUGAGAGGGUGGACGGCCACAUUGGGACUGAGACACGGCCCAGACUCCUACGGGAGGCAGCAGUGGGGAAUAUUGCACAAUGGGCGGAAGCCUGAUGCAGCAACGCCGCGUGGGGGAUGACGGCCUUCGGGUUGUAAACUCCUUUCGCCUGUGACGAAGGUUUUGCGACGGUAGAUGGUGAAGAAGCACCGGCUAACUACGUG
rnacentral:rRNA from 1 species